rnacentral:ncRNA from 1 species
GACCCUUAGUCGAGAACAGUGUCGGUCGGGGAGUUUGACUGGGGCGGUACACGUCUGUGAAACAGUAACGCUGGUGUCCCAAGGCGAGCUCAGCGUGGAUGGAAACCACACGUCGAGCAAAAGGGCUAAAGCUCGCUCUAACUCAAUUUUCAAUACGAAUACGGACCAGGAAAGCGUGGCCCAUCGAUCUUUUCCGAACAACAGCGAGCUAUGUGUCCGCUGAGAGGGGUCAGAA